CCCUCUGUAGCUCAAAGCAGAGCGCACCCUCCCUACGGGGAAGGUGUUGUGUCGGUUCAAACCCGACCAGAGGGA